UACGGAGGGUGCAAGCGUUAAUCGGAAUCAUUGGGCGUAAAGCGCGCGUAGGUGGUGGGGUAAGUCAGAUGUGAAAUCCCCGGGCUCAACCUGGGAACUGCAUCUGAUACUGGCAAGCUUGAGUCCGGUAGAGGGGGGUAGAAUUCCAGGUGUAGCGGUGAAAUGCGUAGAGAUCUGGAGGAAUACCGGUGGCGAAGGCGGCCCCCUGGAC
rnacentral:rRNA from 1 species